ACUUCCUCUUUCUGUUCAUAAACAUUCUUCCACGACGUGCUGUGCUGGAAUCCCUGAGCCUGCUCUGGCCUGGGAGGCUGCCUGAUUUUACACAAAGAACUCUUGAAUCCCCUUUUAUCAUUUUCUGAACCAUUUGAGAGCAAGCUGCAAUCAUAAGAUCCAGCACCUCUAAACACUCCAGAAUAUAUUUUUAGAUAUAACCCUGUAAUGGCUGAAAAGUGUUCCCCCCAAAUUCACAUCCUCCUGAAACCUCAGAAUGUGACCUUAUUUUGAAAUAGGGUCAUUACAGAUGUAAUGAAGGAUCUCCAAUUGAAUCCGUCCAAGGAUUAAGGUGGGCCCUGAAUCCCAUAGACUGGUGUCCUCAUAAGAAAAGGUGAGGACAAAGAGAGACACAGAGACACACAGAUAGCUAUGUGAAGAUGGAAGCAGAGGUUGGGGAUCUGCUGCCACAAACAAAGGCACCCCAAGUAUUGCCAGCAACCACCAGAAGCAAGGAGAAAGGCAUGGGACGCUUUCUCCAUCAGAGUCUCCGGAAGGAACCAAGCUUACUGACACCUUGAUUUUGGACUUCUAGCCCCCAGAACUUCAAGAUAAUACAUUUCUGUUGUUUAAAGCCAUGUGGUUUGUGGUAAUUUGUUAUGACAGUGCUAGAAAACUUAUACAAACCCUCCAAGGCAGAAAUAAACAUGGGCACAACACUGCUACCCAAUCCACAGAUCCCAUUCAAAUUUUGCUGGCUCAGCCCAUCAUGUCUCUUUUCCCUUUCAGGUCCAGGAUCCAGUCCAGGAGCAUGCAUUACAUUUAGUUGUCACAUGUCCGAAUAGAAGGAAGGAGAUUCCCUUCAAUAUGGAAUAAUUUCUUAGUCUUUCCCUGUCUUCCACAUCCUUCCGUUUUUUGUUUUUGUUUUUAUUUUGAGACAGUCUCA
rnacentral:lncRNA from 1 species